rnacentral:rRNA from 1 species
GACGAAGGGGGCUAGCGUUGUUCGGAAUUACUGGGCGUAAAGCGCGUGUAGGCGGUUGUUCAAGUCAGGUGUGAAAGCCUUGAGCUCAACUCAAGAAAUGCACUUGAUACUGGAUGACUAGAGGACCGGAGAGGAUAGUGGAAUUCCCAGUGUAGUGGUGAAAUACGUAGAGAUUGGGAAGAACACCAGUGGCGAAGGCGGCUAUCUGGACGGUUUCUGACGCUAAGACGCGAAAGCGUGGGGAGUAAACAGG